rnacentral:rRNA from 1 species
GGAUGCGAUCAUAGCAGCACUAAAGCACCGGAUCCCAUCAGAACUCCGAAGUUAAGCGUGCUUGGGCGAGAGUAGUACUUGGAUGGGUGACCUCCUGGGAAGUCCUCGUGUUGCAUUCC